UACGUAGGGUGCAAGCGUUGUCCGGAAUUAUUGGGCGUAAAGAGCGUGUAGGCGCCCGAUUAGUCCGCUGUGAAAGUCCAGGGCUCAACCCUGGAAUGCCGGUGGGAUACUGUCGGGCUAGAGUCCGGAAGGGGCGAGUGGAAUUCCUGGUGUAGCGGUGAAAUGCGCCAGAUAUCAGGAAGAACACCCGUGGCGAAGGCGGUUCUCUGGAACGCAACUGACGCUGGAGACGCGAAAGCGUGGGGAGCAAACAGG
rnacentral:rRNA from 1 species